rfam:Gossypium raimondii Chr08_contig_1191, whole genome shotgun sequence.
AAUAGGAGAAUGACAAAUCAAAUUUUUCCUGUGAUAUUUAACUUUUUCCUUCUGAAAAAAUUCAAAUCCAACUAAAAAUGCUAAAAAUCAGGAGGAAAAAUUUAAUUUGUCAUUCUCCUAGG